rnacentral:rRNA from 1 species
UGAAUACGAGACGCUAAGGCGUCGAAGUAGUGUAUGUCAUACUUCCAAGAAAAGCUUGCACUGUCAUAAGUAAAAAAUGCCUGUACCAUAACCGACACAGGUGGGUAGGUAGAGUAUACUAAGGGGCGCGAGAUAACUCUCUCUAAGGAACUCGGCAAAAUAACUCCGUAACUUCGGGAGAAGGAGUACCUUAUUCUAUAAGGUUGCAAUAACAAGAUCCAAGCAACUGUUUAUCAAAAACACAGGUCUCCGCUAAGUCGUAAGACGAUGUAUGGGGGCUGACGCCUGCCCAGUGCCAGAAGGUUAAAGAAGUCGGUUAGCAUUAGCGAAGCUGGUAACUGAAGCCCUGGUGAACGGCGGCCGUAACUAUAACGGUCCUAAGGUAGCGAAAUUCCUUGUCGGGUAAGUUCCGACCCGCACGAAAGGCGUAAUGAUUUGGAUACUGUCUCGGAGAGGGGCUCGGUGAAAUAGACUUGUCUGUGAAGAUGCGGACUACCUGCACCAGGACAGAAAGACCCUAUGAAGCUUUACUGUAACUUGAAAUUGAAAUUGGACUUUAUUCGCGCAGUAUAGGUGGGAGGUGUUGAUUAUAAUCUUGCGGGAUUAUUGGAGCCAUCAGUGAGAUACCACUCUUGUAAUGUUAGAUUUCUAACUUUGAAUCAUUAUCUGGUCAAAGGACAGUUUCAGGCGGGCAGUUUGACUGGGGCGGUCGCCUCCCAAACGGUAACGGAGGCGUACAAAGGUUUCCUCUGAACGGGUAGAAAUCGUAUCUAGAGUGUAAAGGCAUAAGGAAGCUUGACUGUGAGACCUACAAGUCGAACAGGGACGAAAGUCGGUCUUAGUGAUCUGACGGUACUGAGUGGAAAGGCCGUCACUCAACGGAUAAAAGUUACUCUAGGAUAAUAGGCUGAUCUCCCCCAAGAGUUCACAUCGACGGGGAGGUUUGGCACCUCGAUGUCGGCUCAUCGCAUCCUGGGGCGGUAGUACGUCCCAAGGGUUGGGCUGUUCGCCCAUGAAAGCGGUACGCGAGCUGGGUUCAGAACGUCGUGAGACAGUUCGGUCCAUAUCCGGUGUAGGCGUUAGAAUAUUGAGAGGAGCCUUCUUUAGUACGAGAGGACCGAGAAGGACAUACCUCUGGUGUACCAGUUAUCGUGCCAACGGUAAACGCUGGGUAGCUAUGUAUGGAGUGGAUAACCGCUGAAAGCAUCUAAGUGGGAAGCCCACCUCAAGAUAAG